AUUAAUAAGUCUCGCAACACUGCCUACACUUUGUUUUUCGGUCGAUGUGUCAUGGCGGAUUCCGUGCGCGUUUGCAUCUUUUCUGCGGAUCGCAAAUAAUAAUUAUUCUUUUGAACCAAGUAAUAAUUUGUUUUGUAGCAAGUUCACUUGAAUCGAAGCCCACAUCAAACUACGACGGCCAAGCCAAGCAUUUGCUGCCAGCAAUGAUUCCUUCCGGAAUUCAAUCAGGGUGCGAGUUCCUCUAAACAUAAAUGGAAUAGGAAUCCGCUAGACGGCUGUUUUUGGGAUCUUGCCCAGGACGUUUCUUUGGACGCAGAGCUGGGAGUGUUCCGCAGGAAAUGUAUUACACCAACGGUCAACUUUAGGCCCAGGGAGCCAACAGCCAGGGAGAACUCUCUACGUUUUUAUUACCGGAAAGCGGAAUAUAUGUUGCAGAUAUACUUAUAGUAAGUUUAUGGAUUAAACUCAACUAUUAUGGAGAAUCACCUAGCAGUACGUCAGGAGAAAUCUAAAUCCGGAGAUACGCCUAUUAUAUAUAUGGCAAAAGGAAUAAAAACAUCAGAUCGGGUACGAAAACAUGAACGAGCUAUAUGAAUUGUUUGCUUGUUUGUUUCUAUUGUUUGCUGAGGGAAUCUACACGUAUUGGAGUACCUUGAGGCUUGUAUUAUAUCUGUCCACUGCGUUCAUUCAUCAUUUGAAUGGUUCCAAUUGGUUAAUGCAAUAAAUAAAAUGUAUUAAAUGACGAGUAAA